AUGGGGCGGAGGAGGAGGUUGGGCCUGCUGCUAGCGACGGGGAUGAGCAGCUGGACGACAGGGGGAGCCUGGCGGAGGGUCCUUGAUGCGGAGCAUCCUAUGGACAUCACCAUGUCAAGAGUCCAUUUGGCAAGUGACACGUGCCACAUCUACUUCAUGCAUACAAAGGUGAAUCAUCUCCUUUACACGUGUUCACUUGUACCUUUCGAGGAUGGUAUACUACUUGACAUUCCUUUCGUGUGCAUUCAUAGGUAUUGUCGGAUCUUCAAACAUAGCGAGGACGAGUUCAUGCGGAAGAGAACAUCUACACCAUCCAAGAGGGAAGCCUGGAAGCGGAGAAGGAAGCGCCAAGAAGAAGGCAGCAGCUCCCAGGCGCCCCCCUGUGCAUGGGCCCCUUCGACCCCAUGCCCACGGGCCUCCCAGGCUGGCGGUCCUGAAGACCCCGUGCACACGGGCGUGUACCGUACCUACGGGACCCCCGUGUCCACGGGCCUCACGGACCCCGUGCGCACGGGCCCUUGCGUCCGGUCCCUGGAUACCUCGUGCGCACGGGCUCCACUUACCCCGUGCACACGGGCCCCCUGUGUGAUGCUGCGGGCUUUGCCCUUGUUUUACCAUUUCGCCCCCACCUAUUCCCCUCUUUGCCUAGGACUAUAUAUACUCGUUCAUCUCCUCCAUUUAGACUUAGCUAAGAUGAGAUCUAAACACUAG
rnacentral:rRNA from 1 species